UUAAUUGAAGAUGAUCAAAAGAACUCAAAUUACAGGAACUUCCCUCACCUGAGAGGCACAGAGUUUGGAAUAAGAAUUCAAGUACCAGCAAGAAGCAUCCAGAAGAGUCUGUGGAAGCAGCUACCUGGAGCAGCUCUCUUGCUGUUUUCCACCUGCUUCAAAAUGGAUUUCUCCUGAACCCUGAAAGCAGUGAAUUCUUUUGAAAGAAAAUUACCUGACUGAAGCAGAAUACAAUGUGAAGAGUCUUCCACGUUAGUCCUAUAUCCAGGAAGCCUCCCUUCAGGAUUAGUGGUUCCUCGGAUGCGUUGAUAGCCAGGGCUGGCAGUGUUCUCACAGGCAGAGUAACUUUCAGGUGGCCUCCUUGGCUCUGGUUUUGCCUCAGGUUGUUUUUACUUCUCUUUCCUCAGAGCUGUUUUUCCUUGUCAGCUCCUCUUCUUCCUCUUUUACUCAUGUUGUUCUUCAAGAGCAAAUUCUCAUAAACUUACAUCAUGGUUGCUCUGUCUCCACCUUCUGCUCUUUGUAUUUCAGUAUUAUAUUUCACUUGUUAUGGUUUAUUUUUAAUCAAACCAUAUCACAUUACUUUUUGGGGCUACAGAAGAGUGUUUGACAUGUUUAAGUUGCCACUGUGAGGUUCUUCUCCAAACAGAAUUCAAACCAUUAUGUUGCAAUCUGUACCAGAGCCUUUCUAGCAGCUGUGUUUAUACAGCUUCUAGUAAAAUGGGUCCCUGAUUAGGAUUUUUGAAUGGCUCAUUCACUGAAAAAAUGGUGUUUUGAACCAGCUAAAGCUAUUUUAAAAAUUGGGAUAAUAUAUGAUUAAAAGUUUCGGUUUGAAGAAAUCAGUGGCAACACCCUGCCAAAUUUUAGGCCUCAAACAUCCUCACCAUUAGUAUCAUAAAGAUUAAGUUACUGGAUUUUAACUGGGAAAGAAGUGGUUUUCUUUUGCUUGUUGAAAAAUUAACUGCAAAAGUCAUUUGUCACAGAUUGAAAAUUUAAUGUUUAGUCACCCAAAAUUGUUGAAGCUCGGUAAAUUAGAUAAAACUGAAGAUAGGUUCUUUGUUGUUUUUUUUUUUAAUUUUCCAGCAACAAUGACUUGAGGGCAACUUAAUCUAGAACAGAAACUGAACAUUAGGCAGUUCUGGAGUUGCUCCACUGUUAUCAAGACAAGCUUUUUGAAAAACCAAGCCCCAUCCUCAGCUGAGUGACACUGACACACACCACAGACUCUGUGUGUUGGGCAGGUGGGUUUUCAGGAGCCUGUCUGCUCCUUCCAUGCCAGGCAACCUCCUCAGGAGGAUGUAGAAGCAAUAGCUGCUGUCUCAAAAGCAGUGCCUUCUGCAGGGAACCCUGAGGCUCUUCCUCCCACUGGUGAGGCUGUGGACAAAAGGUUUCUCAUCCUUGCUGUUCUCCAUGGUGGAGGUGGCAGCUGCAUUUCCGGAAUUCUGCAGGUUACUUGUGUUCAUGCUGCAGACACUGGUGCUGUACAAAACUAAAGGCUCAUUAAGGUAGGGAAACAGAAGUGCUGCUUCUGCUCCAUUAAACUGGAACUCAGGAUUAAAGGACCAAAAGCUACUUCGACUGACAAACUUCAUAUUUAAAUGUUUUUUAAAUUGUAAACUAAGAGCAAAGAUUUAUAAGUUUGUGUCAUGGUCCAUAAAUCUGGAUUUUGUCCUUUGCCUCUAGACAAAUUGCUUGUAGAGGAAUUUGUAGUGGUUUGGAUAAGUCUAGGUUUCAGCAGUCAGCCCUCUUAAGUCAGACAUAUAUGAAACAUCUGUGAUUGUUUCAGGAACUUGGCAGACAAUCACAUACUUAAAUCACAUUUUCCCCUUUGAACAUUGGAAAUGUCCAUAUAUAAAUUAGACACACAAGCCACAUAACUCUGCAUUUGCGAAUUAGACAAGGUAUCAACCUGCUGUUACCUUGCAAAUCCUACUGCAAGGUAAGAGCAAGUUGAUACCUUGCCAUAGUGAAAGAGAGCAGUUUAAAGUUAUUUAAAACUCUCUAACUUUUUUGUGCCCUGAAAUAAAACCUAAGAGCUUUAAGGGGAGUUGUUGCUAAAUGGCAGGCUACUUUAGUGUUCAGAAUUUGCAAGUUAGCCAAAAGACUAAGACUAAAAUCAAAAGGUUCUUUGAGUAAAAUUUUACAACCCCUCCUUUCCAAGCAGAAUUGCUGAGUUACGUGUGUAGUUGUCACAUGCUGGGCCCCUGAGUACAUUCACCAUGCUGUUGUGCAGAGUCUGUCUAGAAUCAUCUCAUCCUGUAAUGAGAUCAUGUGAAUUCAAAGCAUAUGAAACUUAAUCCUAGUUUUCAGGAUUAUACCCUGUAAAUUUAAAAUUGCAGAGUAUAAAAAACACAUAAUGUUCCUGACUGCUUAUUAUAAAAAAGGGGGCCCAGCUCAUUGUGAACCAGCUUUGGUUCUGCCGCUGAAAGCAGAAUUUGGUAAAGGAACUUCAGUGGGAGAUUGAAGCUGAUGUCUGGUGACCUUUGUCAGGCAGAACAAAUGAUUCUAUGUUUGCUAGAAUUGUGUUAGUGCUGGAUGCUUCUGGUACAGCCUGAGCAAACAAAGUUUACAAGUCUGGCUGUCUAUCAGCAAACUUUGCCUUUUGAUUAAGUCUACAAAUGCUGCAGCAUGGACCCUCCAGGUAGGAAUUUAGGUUCUGCUUUAUUUGAUGCCAGGUCCUUCAAUAGUUCUAGAAAGUAAUUUUGCUUGUAAUAGAAAAGCGUGAUGAAAACAGACAUAAUCCUGAAGAAUGUGUUAAAAUCAAUUGCUGUGUCUUAGAUUACUGCAUAGGACAUGUCCUUUGGUACACACAGGAAUUGUUUGAACAGUUAAAGACAGCAAGGAAGAGGCUGUCACACACAUACAGGCUGUACCUCUGUGAACUCCAGCUCUGGCAUGACAAAGCAGAGCUAUCUACUGUUUAGGCUUAACCCAGCUCAUAGUGGACACAGAGCCAAAACUAGGCAAGAAAACGCUCCCCAAAACAGAGAAGCCAAAAUUUGCAACCAGUCAUUGUCUUCUGUAUGAACUACCUCUAAGAGCUAGAGGCUACAUGCUUCUGACUUGACCACUAAAAUGCUAUGAAUUUACUGUGGAAGUACCCUUGGUAGCUUUGAGCUUGAGGAUGUACAAGGUUUCUUAGCAGUGUUCAAUGACCUGUCUUGUGUAAUGCCGGGUCUUUCCAUGUUCAGCUCACUGCUUUAUUCUAAGGACAAGCUUAGUUGGUUGCCAAUAGUCCUUCUGUAGCAGAGAUUUUAACUCUGCCUGAUUGAGCAGCAUCACACUGGAGGGAAUAAAGGUGGAAGGAUUGUCUUCCCCAAAGCUGAUGCUGGAACAAAAAUUACCUACACUGGCUCCAAUAUGUCACUGAUGUGGAAAACAAGCUUAUUGUUUUCUUCCAGCACUUUCUGCCACCUCCUUUACCUUUCUUUCCUUUCUGUCUUCUGUACUUUGGCCUCACUGCUCUCUCCUAUAUAUCUCUCUCUUCUUUCAGUUAUUGUUCCUUUACACGCUUAAUGCAAGGCAUCCCAGUUUUAACUGGGUUUUUUUGCCUUAUUCCCUGGGAAACAUCUAUAUCCUUUCUGUUCCCUUCCCAGGGUGUAUUUUUAUGCCAGCAUUGGUGCAUCUCAGCCAGUUGCAAGCCUCCCUCUCCUCCAGCUGAGCAAGAAGUUGAUAGCAACAGACUGUGUGCCUGACUGGACUCAGCUGAGCAUCUCCCCUUUGGAUGUUCUUGGUGGCUGCUGCCAUGCUCCCCACAGCAUGGCCCAGUUUCUCUCUCUGUGGUGAUGAGAGGGUUGGCAUAGAAACUGUAAAGCAACCUGGCAUCUUCCACAACUGUAUUUAUUUGCCCCUUGAAGAAUGUAACUUUCCUUUUAAGGAAGACAAACCUAUUUGGAAGAUAUUCUUGACAUCUUUGGGGUAAUACAGUGUAGUGUUUCUCUUACCAGCCUAUCUGAACCAUUUCAGGAGGUUGUGGUGGGUUAGAGCUGAUUGGCAGCUGUCAGUCACUGGUUCUGCAUUGUCAGUGUUUUUCUUAGGCAGGCUGAAUUGCCUGAUGGAGCUCUCUGGAAUGUAGCAGGAGGCAGUGCAGCAUUUUAAAUUAAUUGCUUGUGGAGAUAGCUGCAGGAUUGUGGUGUCAGAAAAUAUUGCUAAAUCUCCAGGGAUUUCUUGGCAUUUUGUUGCCACAAUAAAGUCAUAGUUGUCAGAGUGGCUUAGUACAGCCACCAAUAUAUGUACACUUAUUUAUGCAGCCUGAAAAUGUAGUGCAAUAAUAAAAUACUCUAUUUACAUUUCUGAGACUUGCAUUCGAGUCUUCUAAUGCUGCUUUUGUCAUUGUCUAAAU